CGGUGGAGCAUGUGGUUUAAUUCGAAGCAACGCGAAGAACCUACCAGAUCUUGACAUCCAAUUGACCAUUCUUUUAAUCGAGAUUUUGCCUUCGGGUACAAUUGAGACAGGUGGUGCAUGGUUGUCGUCAGCUCGUGUCGUGAGAUGUUGGGUUAAGUCCCGCAACGAGCGCAACCCUUGUCCUUAGUUGCCAUCAUUAAGUUGGGCACUCUAAGGAGACUGCCGGUGUUAAACCGGAGGAAGGUGGGGAUGACGUCAAGUCAUCAUGGCCCUUAUGUCCAGGGCGACACACGUGCUACAAUGGCCGGCACAACGGGAAGCGAGUUCGCGAGGACGAGCGGAUCCCUCAAAGCCGGUCGCAGUUCGGAUUGAAGUCUGCAACUCGACUUCAUGAAGCUGGAAUCGCUAGUAAUCGUGGAUCAGCCAAGCCGCGGUGAAUACGUUCCCGGGCCUU
rnacentral:rRNA from 1 species